rnacentral:rRNA from 1 species
AUUGAACGCUGGCGGCAGGCCUUACACAUGCAAGUCGAACGGAGCGGCGAACGGGUGAGUAAUGCCUAGGAAUCUGCCUGGUAGUGGGGGAUAACGACCGGAAACGGGCGCUAAUACCGCAUACUAUCAGAGCAGCCUAGGUCGGAUUAGCUAGUUGGUGGGGUAACGGCCUACCAAGGCGACGAUCCGUAACUGGUCUGAGAGGAUGAUCAGUCACACUGGAACUGAGACACGGUCCAGACGCCUACGGGAGGCAGCAGUGGGGAAUAUUGGACAAUGGGCGAAAGCCUGAUCCAGCCAUGCCGCGUGUGGGAAGAAGGUCUUCGGAUUGUAAAGCACUUUAGGUUGGGAGGCGUUACCAACAGAAUAAGCACCGGCUAACUACGUGCCAGCAGCCGCGGUAAUAC